rnacentral:rRNA from 1 species
UAGGGAAUCUUCCGCAAUGGACGAAAGUCUGACGGAGCAACGCCGCGUGAGUGAAGAAGGAUUUCGGUUCGUAAAACUCUGUUGUUAGGGAAGAAAAAAUGUAUAGUAACUAUAUACAAAAGAGACGGUACCUAACCAGAAAGCCACGGCUAACUACGUGCCAGCAGCCGCGGUAAUACGUAGGUGGCAAGCGUUGUCCGGAAUUAUUGGGCGUAAAGCGCGCGCAGGUGGUUUAGAAAGUCUGAUGUGAAAGCCCACGGCUCAACCGUGGAGUGUCAUUUGAAGCGUAUCUACUUGAGUGCAGGAGAGAAAAGUGGAAUUCCUAGUGUAGCGGUGAAAUGCGUAGAGAUUAGGGGGAACACCGGUGGCGAAAGCGGCUUUUUGGCCUGCAACUGACACUUAGGCGCGAAAGCGUGGGGAGCAAACAGG